AACAGGAUUAGAUACCCUGGUAGUCCACGCCGUAAACGAUGAGUGCUAGGUGUUGGGGGGCUACGCCCCUCAGUGCCGAAGGUAACCCAUUAAGCACUCCGCCUGGGGAGUACGGCCGCAAGGCUGAAACUCAAAGGAAUUGACGGGGGCCCGCACAAGCGGUGGAGCAUGUGGUUUAAUUCGAAGCAACGCGAAGAACCUUACCAGGGCUUGACAUCCCGCUGACCCCUCCAGAGAUGGAGGUUUCCUUCGGGACAGCGGUGACAGGUGGUGCAUGGUUGUCGUCAGCUCGUGUCGUGAGAUGUUGGGUUCAGUCCCGCAACGAGCGCAACCCUUGUCGUUAGUUGCCAGCAUUUCGGAUGGGCACUCUAACGAGACAGCCGGUGAAAGCCGGAGGAAGGUGGGGAUGACGUCAAAUCAUCAUGCCCCUUAUGUCCUGGGCUACACACGUGCUACAAUGGCUGGUACAAAGGGCAGCGAACCCGCGAGGGGGAGCCAAUCCCAAAAAGCCAGUCUCAGUUCGGAUCGCAGGCUGCAACUCGCCUGCGUGAAGCCGGAAUCGCUAGUAAUCGCGGAUCAGCAUGCCGCGGUGAAUAUGUUCCCGGGCCUUGUACACACCGCCCGUCACACCACGAGAGUUUGCAACACCCGAAGUCGGUGAGGCAACCUUUUAGGAGCCAGCCGCCGAAGGUGGGGCAGAUAAUUGGGGUGAAGUCGUAACAAGGUAACC
rnacentral:rRNA from 1 species